rnacentral:rRNA from 1 species
UACGAAGGGGGCUAGCGUUGCUCGGAAUCACUGGGCGUAAAGCGCACGUAGGCGGUUUGCUAAGUCAGGGGUGAAAUCCUGGAGCUCAACUCCAGAACUGCCUUUGAUACUGGCGGACUUGAGUCCGGGAGAGGUGAGUGGAACUGCGAGUGUAGAGGUGAAAUUCGUAGAUAUUCGCAAGAACACCAGUGGCGAAGGCGGCUCACUGGCCCGGUACUGACGCUGAGGUGCGAAAGCGUGGGGAGCGAACAGG